rnacentral:rRNA from 1 species
AAUCAACGCUGGCGGCGUGCCUAACACAUGCAAGUCGAGCGCGAAAGGGGGGGUAACUCCCCAAGUAGAGCGGCGAACGGGUGAGUAACGCGUGGGUAAUCUGCCUUCGAGUGGGGAAUAACACCGGGAAACUGGUGCUAAUACCGCAUGACAUCCUCGGGCCUUCGGGCCUGGAGAUCAAAGCCGGGGACCGCAAGGCCGUGGCGCUUGGAGAUGAGCCCGCGUCCGAUUAGCAGUUGGCGGGGUAAGUGGCCCACCAAGGCUUCGAUCGGUAGCCGGCCUGAGAGGGCGGACGGCCACACUGGGACUGAGACACGGCCCAGACUCCUACGGGAGGCAGCAGUGGGGAAUUUUUCGCAAGUGGGGGAAACCCUGACGAAGCAACGCCGCGUGGA